rnacentral:rRNA from 1 species
UACAGAGGGUGCGAGCGUUGUUCGGAAUUAUUGGGCGUAAAGGGCGCGUAGGUGGCGGGACAAGCGUGCGGUGAAAGCUCGGGCUCAACCCGCGUCGGCCGUGCGAACUGUUUGCUUGAGCACUGUAGAGGCAGGCGGAAUUCCGGUGUAGCGGUGAAAUGCGUAGAGAUCGGAGGAAGGCCGGUGGCGAAGGCGGCGCUCUGGAACAUUUCUGACGCUGAGGCUCGAAAGCGUGGGAGCAACAGG